UGCGGCGGACGGGUGAGUAAUGCCUAGGAAUCUGCCUGGUAGUGGGGGACAACGUUUCGAAAGGAACGCUAAUACCGCAUACGUCCUACGGGAGAAAGCAGGGGACCUUCGGGCCUUGCGCUAUCAGAUGAGCCUAGGUCGGAUUAGCUAGUUGGUGAGGUAAUGGCUCACCAAGGCGACGAUCCGUAACUGGUCUGAGAGGAUGAUCAGUCACACUGGAACUGAGACACGGUCCAGACUCCUACGGGAGGCAGCAGUGGGGAAUAUUGGACAAUGGGCGAAAGCCUGAUCCAGCCAUGCCGCGUGUGUGAAGAAGGUCUUCGGAUUGUAAAGCACUUUAAGUUGGGAGGAAGGGUUGUAGAUUAAUACUCUGCAAUUUUGACGUUACCGACAGAAUAAGCACCGGCUAACUCUGUGCCAGCAGCCGCGGUAAUACAGAGGGUGCAAGCGUUAAUCGGAAUUACUGGGCGUAAAGCGCGCGUAGGUGGUUUGUUAAGUUGGAUGUGAAAUCCCCGGGCUCAACCUGGGAACUGCAUCCAAAACUGGCAAGCUAGAGUAUGGUAGAGGGUGGUGGAAUUUCCUGUGUAGCGGUGAAAUGCGUAGAUAUAGGAAGGAACACCAGUGGCGAAGGCGACCACCUGGACUGAUACUGACACUGA
rnacentral:rRNA from 1 species